GACAUAAGGUGCAAGCGUUACUCGGAAUUACUGGGCUUAAAGCGUCUGUAGGUGUCCUUCCACGUCUGGCUUUAAAUCGCAGGGCUUAACCCCGCGCUUGAGCUGGAAACGAGAGGGAUCGAGUUAUUCAGAGGCAUCUGGAAUGUCGUGUGUAGGGGUAAAAUCCGUAGAUACACGAUGGAACGCCAAAAGCGAAGGCAGCUCUCUGGGUCCCUACCGACGCUGGGGUGCGAAAGCAUGGGGAGCGAACAGG
rnacentral:rRNA from 1 species